AAAAACAUGGCUCUUUGGUUAUACGAAUAUAAAGAGUCGGACCUGCCCGGUGAAAACUUUUAACGGCCGCGGUACUUUGACCGUGCAAAGGUAGCAUAAUCAUUUGCCUUAUAAUUAAAGGCUAGUAUGAACGGUUUGACGAGAACAACACUGUCUCCUUUUUAUUUUCAAGAAUUUAACUUUUAGGUGAAGAGGCCUAAAUUCCAUUGAAGGACAAGAAGACCCUGUCGAGCUUAAAAGACAUCGUAGAAUUAUAUAUAUAUAUAUUUAAAUAAAUUUUCUAUUAAGCUUUUUAGUUGGGGCGACUGAGGAACAAAAAAAGCUUCUUAAAAAGAACAGACAAUCAUGUUUAGAUCCGGUAAAACUGAUCAAAGAAAUUAGUUACCGCAGGGAUAACAGCAUAAUCUCUCUUGAGAGGCCUAAUCGAAAGAGGGGGUUGUGACCUCGAUGUUGGACUAGAAUAUCCUAAAGAUGCAGAAGUCUUUGAGGGUUGGUCUGUUCGACCAUUAAAAUUCUACGUGAUCUGA
rnacentral:rRNA from 1 species